UUGGAUUACUGUUUGAGUGUUGAUACAAUGAAAGUUAUUCUGACUGUACAGUACAACUACCGAGAGACCUCUUGCGUUGACUUCUUCAACUUUUUAAAGUCCAACAAGGAACUACUUAAAAAAUAUAAGAUCUACAGAAAAAUAUGCAUCGGCACAUCAAGCAACACACGCAGUGGUUGAAGAAGAGUUACAAGACACCAAUUGAGCUAAGUGGAAAAACGGAAUUCAAGAUUAUCAGCCAUUAUUUACGUUUUCCAGUAUCAUAUCAGGACCAUAAUCAGGUGUUAGUGAAGGUGUCCGGAAUUUUGAUAGUUCAUAUAUGGCAACCCUAGUAUAUGUGUUUCCCUUUCAUUGCAACUUGCACUGCCUGGUAGCCAGUGGAAGGAAGGUCUCGCUACUGUCUGACACCCACGUGCCGCGAUGGAAGUUCGAAUAUGGAUUUUCUACUGACAUUGAGCGGUCUGCCUUGAGCACAGGAAUGGCGUGUGUGUUUGUGUAUAUAUGAAUGUGGAGUCACUUGUAGGUUGCCCCCAUUCUUCCACGACCAGAUCUAGAAGACGCCUGUAAUGGUUAAGCAGUUGGUUUAAUCAAGAUAUCAAGAUAUUUUUUUCUUAGAGAAAGAGAGAAUGUUCCCAAAAGCAUAACUACUAGGCUUUUCUCUCUUAUUUUAAUAUUCCUCUAUAACUCUGAUAAUGAUGUAGAAGUACUUGGCUUUCUUCCUACUAAUAUAUCAUCACUUGAACUGCUAUAAUUAACUCUACAGACAAUGAGAAAACAGAAUGGUUGAGAAAAGGAAGAUUUUUUUUUUCUCUCGAUCUUUAGACGAUAGAUAAAUGAAGGAACAAUGGAGAAAUAACAUAUGAUGAUGCAAUUCAAUUUAACAAAACAAAAUGAGAGUACAUUGAUUUCUCUUUGGGCCCAAGUGACAACAGGGACAAAAAAGUACUCAAUUAUUUAAUGAUCAUUCAUAAAACACCCAGAUAUUUAACCAGUGCAUGUGGAAUUACAAAAUACGUAAUUUUUUCACAACUUUUUCAUUAUAGAAACAAUCAGGAUAUGGGUUAGUAGCAAAUAUUACAUUUUCACAGGAAACGGAGAAAGAAAAGUACGCAAUUAUAAACUACCUGGAAAGACGCCUAGAUAUUUAAACAUUGCAUGUAUAAUUAUAAACUAAGUAAUUUUCCACAACUUUUUCGCCAUAGAAACAAUAAGGAAAUAAGUUAGUAGCAAAUUUAAGCUUUUCCGAUGACACGUCAGAUCUGAUAGACGCCAUUAGACCCUGACAGUGACAGCCAGCCUUGUGGGAGGUACACGUGGGUGACGUGAGUAUUAAAAUCCCCAUUAUAUCUUACUUUACCAUACCCACCUUGAUGUACCUACUUGUGUAUAGUUAUGAAGCCUUCAUGUACAUGUAUACUUAGUGAAAUGUGCAGGGGAAGGCUUGAAUAUGGAGAUAAUACGAGAAAUAAGGUUAGGAGAGGAUCGCCUUAGUAAGGUUAUUAGUGAAGCAAGAAAUUGACUACUACUACUACUACUAUUAGUAGUACUGUUGCUGCUACUACUACUACUACUACUACUACUACUACUACUACUACUACUACUACUACUACUACUACUACUACUGUCACUUCCUUCACCACCACCACUCGUCACUACAGCCAGAAUCACGACAACCACCACUACCACCACCACCACCACGACUUGUACACCAUCACUACCUAUACCAUCACUAUCAUCACUACAGCCAGAAUCAGAGUCAGGUGUCGUGACUCUCUCUGCCUUCUCCAUAAACUCUAGACCCUCAAAUGCCGACCUUCAUAGUCGUUAACCGCAUUAAAGCGAGUAAACGACUGGGUCGUUUGUCAUCCUGAUCCCUUAUAGACGUGACGGCGUCUACAGUUAAUGACUACGGUCUGCUGUAUGCUGGAGAAGAAAGGCGAAGAUCGCAGCGGAGCGGAGCGUCUUCAGGAUUACCCAGAGGACGAGUGCGUGUAAUGGACAGACACGACCAUCCAGGAUGAGAUGAGAAAAAUUCAGCUGCUGCUCUUCCUACCUCACUGGUGGGAGAUGAAACGAGCCAGUCUUCCUAUGGCUGUUCUUCCUACCUUACUGCUGCUGCCUGAUGGAGAUGCAAGACCACUGGAGCUUACUGCAUGUGUGUGAUUCACUUAUGGUUGUCUGCUGGUCACCCAGCCAGCUGUUACCCUAUGGAAAGAGCUCAGAGCUUGUAGUGACCAAUCUUUGGGUAGGACUGAGACCAUUUACACACCACACACCGGGACAGCGAGGUCACAACCCCUCGGGUUACAUCCCAUACUUACUUGCUGCUAGGUAAACAGGGGCUACACAUUGAGGCUGGCUCUUUUGCCUCACCAUGCUCAGGAUUCGAACCUGGGCCUUCUUGCAAACAUGCUAACCACUACUACACUACACUGUGUAUGUGUGUAAUGUGACUGUCAGUGCAUGCUUGUGUAACAGGUUUCAUAGUAUUAAUGUUGGAAGAUAAGACAUUUGGGGUAAAAAAAAACCCACUAUAAUAAUAAUUUAGAGAGUUGAAUAGGAUAUCCAUUGUGAGACCAUGCCUCUCUCUCUCUCUCUCUCUCUCUCUCUCUCUCUCUCUCUCUCUCUCUCACACCACAGCCCACAGAACCCACAGUAUGUCCCCCCACAGUAUGUCAGACUUACCACAGUUGACACCACAGCCCUCAUCACAAAAUACAGGGCGUAACGUGAGUUUCUGCAAAUACUGAAAGAGGUGAAAGAACGUGUAAUUCUAAGUAGAAAAUGUUCUAUACACAUGCAUUUUAGGACUUUGUUUACCCGUGAGAGGAGUUGAAAAUGUGUGGGACUCACAGGUGUGGUAUGUGUGUAGCUAUGAGGUGAUGGACAGACAGUUGCAUUAUUGCAACCUCCGAGUUACCACUUAGUCAAAUUAUGAAUGGUUUAAUCUUCUUUUUUGCAGGCUGUGUAAUAUUACAGUAUCUUAUAACAAGAAAAUGGUAUUAAAAAGCAUGUAAUUUACCGAAAAGUAUUACACAACAACAUUAUUGCAGUGAUUAAAAGUACUCCUUUAAAAUGCUAUGUGGCAUCAUCACAACUGUUUUCAAGGUUGCUGUGACUUGCACCCCCCUCCUUCCUCGCUUUAAUGAUGCCAUGUACCAUUUUAAAGGAAUAUUUUUAAUCACUGCAAUAAUGUUGUAUAAUGCUUAUCAGUAAAUUACAUACUUUUUAAUAUCAUUUGUCUUGUUAUAAGAUACUGUAAUAUUCCAGCCUACAAAAAAUAAGAUUAAACUAUUUGUAAUUUGACCAAGUGGCAACUCGGAGACUGUGACAAUGCAAUCGUUUGUCUUCACCUCACAGCUACAAGCAUACCACACCUGCGAGUCCCUUACAUGUUUACUCUCACGGGUAAACAAAGCCUUAAAAGGCACACGAGUAACAUUUUCUACUUAGGUGAAAUUCUCUUUCAGUAUUUGCAGAAACUUGCAUUACACCCUAUAUGUGUCUGGCUGCAGACCUUUCCUGUUCCACUGCAUCAGAUGAACUGGAAGGAAUGAUGCCUGUACUGUGUAUCACUAACAUUGCCGCAAUAAAAGAACAAAAAUCCUA